rnacentral:rRNA from 1 species
UGAGGAAUCUUGCGCAAUGGGGGAAACCCUGACGCAGCAACGCCGCGUGAGUGAGGAAGGUCUUCGGAUCGUAAAGCUCUGUCGGGUGGAAAGAAAUGUAUGGGGUUAAUAGCCUUCAUACUUGACGGUACCACCAAAGGAAGCACCGGCUAACUCCGUGCCAGCAGCCGCGGUAAUACGGGGGGUGCAAGCGUUGUUCGGAAUUAUUGGGCGUAAAGAGCGUGUAGGCGGCUUGUCAAGUCAGAUGUGAAAGCCCUGGGCUUAACCCAGGAAGUGCAUUUGAAACUGGCAGGCUAGAGUAGGGGAGAGGGAAGUGGAAUUCCUGGUGUAGAGGUGAAAUUCGUAGAUAUCAGGAGGAACACCGGUGGCGAAGGCGACUUCCUGGCCCUAUACUGACGCUGAGACGCGAGAGCGUGGGUAGCAAACAGG